rnacentral:rRNA from 1 species
AUUGAACGCUGGCGGCAGGCCUAACACAUGCAAGUCGAGCGGAUGAAGGGAGCUUGCUCCUGGAUUCAGCGGCGGACGGGUGAGUAAUGCCUAUGAAUCUGCCUGGUAGUGGGGGAUAACGUCCGGAAACGGGCGCUAAUACCGCAUACGUCCUGAGGGAGAAAGUGGGGGAUCUUCGGACCUCACGCUAUCAUAUGAGCCUAGGUCGGAUUAGCUAGUUGGUGGGGUAAAGGCCUACCAAGGCGACGAUCCGUAACUGGUCUGAGAGGAUGAUCAGUCACACUGGAACUGAGACACGGUCCAGACUCCUACGGGAGGCAGCAGUGGGGAAUAUUGGACAAUGGGCGAAAGCCUGAUACAGCCAUGCCGCGUGUGUGAAGAAGGUCUUCGGAUUGUAAAGCACUUUAAGUUGGGAGGAAGGGCAGUAAGUUAAUACCUUGCUGUUUUGACGUUACCAACAGAAUAAGCACCGGCUAACUUCGUG